CUAUGCCUACACCGUAGGCUAUGGACCGGAUCUCCCCUGCCUAGGCUAGGUAGGCCUAGAGAAGCUUUGUUAGAGAGGGCACUGCGAUGACGUAAAGACAGACGACGCUGCUAAUGUACAAAAGCUCAUACACUACUGUAUAAAUGCACUGGUUCAAGUCCCUGUACUCUGCUGCAAGAGAAUAAAUCUGAGAAAUGAUGCAGUCUGGAUGCCACCACAUGAGAUAGGAAGAUCAGGAUGACAAUGUGUAUUACUCAUUCAGCACCUAGGGUUGCUGACAUGCUGCUUCCAAAGCUAAAUGUAACACUGACCUGGGGUCAGAGGUCAUGCAUCACAUGAUGGUAAGGAUCAUUAUGGAAAAUUGGAGGAAAUCAACUUGGUGCAGAAUGCUAUGAGGUUUAAAUUGUCAUUUUGGCUAGGUGACAUGGAGGUGAAGGGUCAUACAUCUUUAACCCAACGUGUAAAGCAACAUGUCAAAUGCACCUAGACAGACUGCAAACUUAAAUCCGACUACAUGUACAUAAAUUGAAUGUCUGGUUUGAGGGCUGCACUAGUGUUGCUUUCAGUCAACCACAUGAGCAUGAAUUUGCUGGAACCAGUGGAGACUCAGCCAAUUAGUGAUGACUUUGAAAAAGGUGAGGCAGAAGUAUACUUGAAAUCUGUUUAUGACAGUGAUGCAUAGGAUAUAAACGUAUGCAGCUGGAAGGCCUCAUUACAAACGAUGGAGUGACAGAUAAUUAGAAAUACCCUCGGAUUAAAACGAAUAAACUGUUGUGUAAAAGCCUACAAGUUCUGUUUACGAACCACUGCUAAGGAAGAUAGUUCAUUUUUUUUUGCUAUGUGAUGAUAGCCCUGUCUCUUUCUAAUCACAUCUUCCUCUAACCUUGGAUAAAAUAAUCAUCAGUUUUGUAAUUAAACAACAGCAGUGAUGAUUGUGACAUAAUUGUCUACAACCGAUUCCCACAAAGUUUAAAUGAAAAUCAUAUCCAAGGGCAAAAAUGCAUGACAACGGAGAAGACAUGAGACUUUACUGGGCCAGACAACUGAGCCACAAAAUAUGUUUUCAGUAUGCCUGGAUGCUUAGCAAGCUAUGGUGUUCAGUCCUCAUGGUGGUUGUCAUCUUCAGUGCUUUCCUUACAUGUGGUCUCAUUGCA